rnacentral:rRNA from 1 species
AGAGUUGAUCAUGGCUCAGGAUGAACGCUAGCUACAGGCUUAACACAUGCAAGUCGAGGGGCAGCAUGAUCUUAGCUUGCUAAGAUUGAUGGCGACCGGCGCACGGGUGAGUAACGCGUAUCCAACCUUCCCUAUAGUAGGGGAUAGCCCGUAGAAAUGCGGAUUAAUACCCUAUGUUGUAUUUAGAUGACAUCUGACGAAUACCAAAGGCUCACCGCUAUAGGAUGGGGAUGCGUCUGAUUAGGUAGUCGGCGGGGUAACGGCCCACCGAGCCAACGAUCAGUAGGGGUUCUGAGAGGAAGGUCCCCCACAUUGGAACUGAGACACGGUCCAAACUCCUACGGGAGGCAGCAGUGAGGAAUAUUGGUCAAUGGGCGAGAGCCUGAACCAGCCAAAGUAGCGUGCAGGAUGACGGCCCUAUGGGUUGUAAACUGCUUUUAUGCGGGGGUAAAGUGGGGGACGUGUCCCCCUUUGUAGGUACCGCAUGAAUAAGGACCGGCUAAUUCCGUGCCAGCCGCAGC